GCCGCUGUAGCUCAGUUGGUAGAGCGCCCGCCUUGUAAGCGGACGGUCAGGGGUUCGAGUCCCCUCAGCGGCU
rnacentral:tRNA from 6 species